GAUGAACGCUGGCGGCGUGCCUAAUACAUGCAAGUCGAACGCUUCACUUCGGUGAAGAGUGGCGAACGGGUGAGUAAUACAUAAGUAACCUGGCAUCUACAGGGGGAUAACUGAUGGAAACGUCAGCUAAGACCGCAUAGGUGUAGAGAUCGCAUGAACUCUAUAUGAAAAGUGCUACGGGACUGGUAGAUGAUGGACUUAUGGCGCAUUAGCUGGUUGGUAGGGUAACGGCCUACCAAGGCGACGAUGCGUAGCCGACCUGAGAGGGUGACCGGCCACACUGGGACUGAGGCACGGCCCAGACUCCUACGGGAGGCAGCAGUAGGGAAUUUUCGGCAAUGGGGGAAACCCUGACCGAGCAACGCCGCGUGAAGGAAGAAGUAAUUCGUUAUGUAAACUUCUGUCAUAGAGGAAGAACGGUGGAUAUAGGGAAUGAUAUCCAAGUGACGGUACUCUAUAAGAAAGCCACGGCUAACUACGUGCCAGCAGCCGCGGUAAUACGUAGGUGGCGAGCGUUAUCCGGAAUUAUUGGGCGUAAAGAGGGAGCAGGCGGCACUAAGGGUCUGUGGUGAAAGAUCGAAGCUUAACUUCGGUAAGCCAUGGAAACCGUAGAGCUAGAGUGUGUGAGAGGAUCGUGGAAUUCCAUGUGUAGCGGUGAAAUGCGUAGAUAUAUGGAGGAACACCAGUGGCGAAGGCGACGAUCUGGCGCAUAACUGACGCUCAGUCCCGAAAGCGUGGGGAGCAAAUAGGAUUAGAUACCCUAGUAGUCCACGCCGUAAACGAUGAGUACUAAGUGUUGGGUGUCAAAGCUCAGUGCUGCAGUUAACGCAAUAAGCACUCCGCCUGAGUAGUACGUUCGCAAGAAUGAAACUCAAAGGAAUUGACGGGGGCCCGCACAAGCGGUGGAGCAUGUGGUUUAAUUCGAAGCAACGCGAAGAACCUUACCAGGUCUUGACAUCGAUCUAAAGGCUCCAGAGAUGGAGAGAUAGCUAUAGAGAAGACAGGUGGUGCAUGGUUGUCGUCAGCUCGUGUCGUGAGAUGUUGGGUUAAGUCCCGCAACGAGCGCAACCCCUGUUGCCAGUUGCCAGCAUUAAGUUGGGGACUCUGGCGAGACUGCCGGUGACAAGCCGGAGGAAGGCGGGGAUGACGUCAAAUCAUCAUGCCCCUUAUGACCUGGGCUACACACGUGCUACAAUGGACAGAGCAGAGGGAAGCGAAGCCGCGAGGUGGAGCGAAACCCAUAAAACUGUUCUCAGUUCGGACUGCAGUCUGCAACUCGACUGCACGAAGAUGGAAUCGCUAGUAAUCGCGAAUCAGCAUGUCGCGGUGAAUACGUUCUCGGGCCUUGCACA
rnacentral:rRNA from 1 species